rnacentral:rRNA from 1 species
AGAACGCAGCGAAAUGCGAUACCUAGUGUGAAUUGCAGAAUUCCGCGAAUCAUCGAGUUUUUGAACGCAAGUUGCGCCCGAGGCUCGUACCGAGGGCAUGUCUGUCUGAGCGUCCA